rnacentral:rRNA from 1 species
UACGAAGGGGGCGAGCGUUGUUCGGAUUUACUGGGCGUAAAGGGCGCGCAGGCGGCUUAUUUUGUCAGGCGUGAAAGCCCCGGGCUUAACCUGGGAACUGCGCUUGAGACGGAUGGGCUAGAGUUCGGGAGAGGAGAGUGGAAUUCCCAGUGUAGAGGUGAAAUUCGUAGAUAUUGGGAAGAACACCGGUGGCGAAGGCGGCUCUCUGGACCGAGACUGACGCUGAGGCGCGAAAGCGUGGGGAGCAAACAGG